GACGGGGGGGGCAAGUGUUCUUCGGAAUGACUGGGCGUAAAGGGCACGUAGGCGGUGAAUCGGGUUGAAAGUGAAAGUCGCCAAAAAGUGGCGGAAUGCUCUCGAAACCAAUUCACUUGAGUGAGACAGAGGAGAGUGGAAUUUCGUGUGUAGGGGUGGAAAUCCGUAGAUCUACGAAGGAACGCCAAAAGCGAAGGCAGCUCUCUGGGUCCCUACCGACGCUGGGGUGCGAAAGCGUGGGGAGCGAACAGG
rnacentral:rRNA from 1 species